GAAAUGCGAUAAGUAAUGUGAAUUGCAGAAUUCAGUGAAUCAUCGAAUCUUUGAACGCACCUUGCGCUCCUUGGUAUUCCUUGGAGCAUGCCUGUUUGAGUAUCAUGAAAUCUUCAAACUAAAUCUUUUGUUAACUCAAUUGGUUUCUACUUUGGUAUUGGAGGUCUUUGCAGCUUCACACCUGCUCCUCUUUGUUCAUUAGCUGGAUCUCAGUGUUAUGCUUGGUUCCACUCGGCGUGAUAAGUUAUCUAUCGCUGAGGACACUGUAAAAGGUGGCCAAGGUAAAUGCAGAUGAACCGCUUCUAAUAGUCCAUUGACUUGGACAAUACUUUUAUGAUCUGAUCUCAAAUCAGGUAGGACUACCCGCUGAACUUAAGC
rnacentral:misc_RNA from 1 species